UCUAUUGUUUUCAGAGAUGAGAAUGGUGAUAAAUAAGAAAUAUUAUUAUUCGACUUAUUGCUCGACUAAUUGAAGUGACGGAUGUUAUUUAAUUAUUUAUCUUUGAGCUUUCUUAUUUUAAUAAGUGAUGAUUUAUUAUUAAAGCAUAAAUAUUAGAUUUAUUAUUAUUUCUUAAUUAUUGAGAUUAUUUUUCAAAUUAUUCAAGUGAGGUUUUAUAUUAUUAAGUUAUGAAAGGAAAUGUUAGAAUUAUUUUGUGAGUUAGUUAAGGUGUAGAAUUUUAAACCCACACAUACUCAUAUUUUAUUUUGUAUGUGAUGUGUGGCUCGAUAGUUAUAAGAAGAGUUUGUUCCUAAAGUGCUUGAUUGAAGGUUAUAUAGUGCUAUUUCUAUAAUAGCAAUUUUAUAGAUUUUAAUAAUAGGUGUAUUUUAUUGGAUAAGUAUAGUGGACUUUAUGAAUUAGCUUAUAAGGAAAGACAACCUUCCUUUUCUCCCUUCUUCUACCAAGGUGCCGUAUCCCUCUUCUUUUCCUCAACCUCCAUGUUUGUCGAUCCAAGCUCCAAGAAUCACUCCAAAAAAAAUCACACCUAUAUUCAUCCAGAAACGUAUAUUAAGGUUUGAGUGGCAGUGUAGAGUGAACAAGCAAAGACUUCUAUUUCAUUAAGCGUAUCAGGUUGAGCUGAUGUGAUGAUGGUGCUGCAAUGAGCGGAGUCUCCAGGGUUGUUAAUAAAUAGUUAACCUGUCUAGAAUAUGUCUUCAUACAUAUGUCUAGCUACUUUCCGCUGCAAGAUGUUGUUGAUGUUAUAGUAUGUUAUGUCAUACUUUGAGUCUUAAGAGAAUGGUUUCAUAUGAUGUAUAACUUGAUUAAUGAUAUUAAUUAAGUUUUAUGUUGUCUUUCA